GGCGGAAGGAUCCAUUA
rnacentral:rRNA from 1 species